AGAUGUGGGACUGGUUCAGGACAAGAAGACGCUACAUUGCGUACCUCUGUCUGCUUUGCAAUGCUUACACUGAAAUGUGUGCCAGGUUUGGAGUAUCUAUCUCUAUGAUAGGGGGCAUGGUGAAGAAGGAUUGUGACGACCCUGAUGAUGUUGGCCAGUUCUGCUGGUCCCAAAGUACCCAGGCAAUGGUGAUAGGUGCAUAUUUCUAUGGUUACGUUGCACAGUGCUUCACUACAUUUGUUGCAAAAUAUUUCACUGGAUUCACAAGAACAUACAGAUUCUGGUUGAUAUUAUCUGGAGCUAUUCAGUUUUGCUACCCAACAUUUGCCGCUCUGUCUCCGACAAUUGUUAU